AUUGAACGCUGGCGGCAUGCUUUACACAUGCAAGUCGAGCGGUAACAGGCCUUCGGGUGCUGACGAGUGGCGCACGGGUGAGUAAUGCAUCGGAACGUACCCAGAGGUGGGGGAUAACGCAGCGAAAGCUGUGCUAAUACCGCAUGUGAUCUGAGGAUGAAAGCGGGGGACCGAGCAGCAAUGUUUGGCCUCGCGCCUUUGGAGCGGCCGAUGUCGGAUUAGCUAGUUGGUGGGGUAAAGGCCUACCAAGGCGACGAUCCGUAGCUGGUCUGAGAGGACGAACAGCCACACUGGGACUGAGACACGGCCCAGACUCCUACGGGAGGCAGCAGUGGGGAAUUUUGGACAAUGGGCGCAAGCCUGAUCCAGCAAUGCCGCGUGCGGGAAGAAGGCCUUCGGGUUGUAAACCGCUUUUGGCAGGAACGAAACGGUGUCCGCUAAUACCGGGCGCUAAUGACGGUACCUGCAGAAUAAGCACCGGCUAACUACGUG
rnacentral:rRNA from 1 species